rnacentral:rRNA from 1 species
GAGUUAGCCGAUGCUUAUUCCCCAGAUACCGUCAGGUUUCUUCUCUGGGAAAAGGAGUUAACAACCCAAUAGGCCUUCACCCUCCACGCGGCAUUGCUCCGUCAGGCUUUCGCCCAUUGCGGAAAAUUCCCUA